CUCCCUCUCGCUCUCCCUCCCUCUCCCUCUCACUCUCUAUCUCUCCCUCUAGUUCCUAAGAAGGUUAGGGUUUUCAUCAUCUCUCUUGUUUUCAUUAAUGCGUGUAGAUUUUUCGGUUAAAGGAAAUGCAGGUGAAGGAUGCCUGUGAUGAGGAAAUGAAAGUCAUGCACCACUCUGAUGUUUUCAGUGCUGAUAUACGACAUACCCAUUUCUAUUUGAGCCAUUCUUCAUCUCUCUCUCAUAUGUUCCGAGAGUUAGGGUUUUUGGAUUUCUAAUUUCCUUUCUGUUUUGGUUGUGUAAUUUUUUAGGACUUUUUUGCUCGUUAUUUGUGUCCUUUUUCUUUUUAUUUUAUGAAAUAAAAGAUUGCCAAAUGAUGUAGUUGUUUUCUGUUGAAAAUGGCUAACCAUGAUGCAGACUGUUCAAAAACUAUGUUUGCUCCAUGGGGAUAAGCACUGGUGUCUGAUGGCUCUCCUUUUUUCUUUGAUGGUUAGAUCUCUUACAUUUAUUUGAUGGGGUGGUCUUGAUUGCUGCUGGUUUCCGGUUGUCCAUUCAUGGUCUUCUUCAAUGGGCAUUUUCCUAAACUUUUAGUUGUUUUUUUUCUGGAUAGACCUGGUGGGUAAAGGUGAUCCUAACUGCUGGAUUAUGUCCUGAGAAUGCCAUAAAUGGUUCAGAUUUAAUGGAGAAGGGCUAGAGAUCCGAAUGGCUACAUGCUCAAUAUUUCCUAGAUCCAAUAUUCCAAUCUUACGGGAUUUUUUUUUAUGUUGUUUCCCCAAAUUCACAGCUUUAGGGCUUUCUUGCUAACCUUGGUAGAGCGCAACACCACUACUGUGGCAGAAUAAGAUUGUACUUAAGCUACCUAAUCAUGAUCCAGAGUGUUGCUUUUCAAAUCUUGUCUUAAAGCUUCACUCUGUUUCAACUCCAAGUGCCUGAGCCUCUAUACGAUUGUUGUGCCCAGCUAUACUGAUCUUUCCUCUGAGAGUCCCUGCCUUUUGUUUUCCAAGUCUCUGUGUUUCCACUUCCAUCAUCUUUUAUAUAUUGCUUGUUUGUCAUAUUAUUAUGCUUUUUGAUGUAAUUUCUUUAAAUUCCAACCAAAAGUAGUGCAUUGUUUUCCAUGCUGAUUAGAUCAGCAGUGAUGUUGUGUCAAUUUACAAGCUUGAUGGGAGGUAUCAAACUGAGACUUUUGAGUAGGCUUUAAUCCUAAAUUCCCAGCAGUGGUUUUCUCAUUCCUUCCCUAAGCCAUAGCUAUGGCCACAAAGGGUUUAGAACCUAGUUGUUUUAAAAAUAUGCUUGGUUCUCAGUUGGACUGUGGCUUUGGCAUAUGGAUCUGACCUGAUUGUUACAUGCUUCUUUUACAUGGUGCCAUCCUUUUCUCAUGUUGUGUUAAAAUGCCUAGGAGUGCCUUGUGCUGACAGAAUCUCACAUGGCAGAUUUUGUGGAUCAUGUUUUGAAUCAGUUAACAAGCAAGUAAACUAAAGUUGCAGUUAACGAGAUUGCCUAGUCCUUUAUUAAUACUUACCUGUAUGAUAGAAGUUGGGAAUUAGUUGAUAUAUUUAUUAGCGUGGAUAUGAACUUACAUUAUGAUUCACCUAGGGAUACUGAGGUAAGGGACUGGAUUUGAAACAUGGGGAAGAGGAAGUCAAGGGCAAAGCCACCUCCUAAGAAGUGGAUGGACAAGCUUGAUACUGUCUUUAGUUGCCCCUUCUGCAACCAUGGAACCAGUGUUGACUGCCGCAUCGAUAUGAAGAAUUUGAUUGGUGAAGCCACAUGCAGGAUUUGCCUAGAAAAUUUUAGCACUACAGUCACUGGAAUGGAAUUGAUUGUGUGCUUUGCAAGGAGAUCCUAACUUUCAUUUACCCAACAUGCUAUCAAUUGGGUGUUUGUUUAAAUUCUAUUUUUUGUUAUUUUCAUCUUCAACAGGCUUAUGUUCAACAGCUAGAGUCUAGUAGGAUUAACUUAGCUAGUAAAGGAGCUCUAGAGGGCUCGAGCUCAGGCAAGUCUAUUAUUCAAAAAGCUCUAUUUGAAGUUGGAUGCUGUCUCUCAUUUUCUAUUGAGAUACUUCUAAUAUUGGGUGGGGGAAAUCUAAUUUCUACAUCCAGUGAUGAGAGUGAAGAAGAAGAGUGUGGAUUUCAUUUUCCGUUCUUCUUUAUACUUGGAAGUUGGGUUUGAUAUUGCUCAAGUCAUUAGGGUAAAACCCAUGUAUGGAGUGUU